AGUGAACGCUGGCGGUAGGCCUAACACAUGCAAGUCGAACGGCAGCACAGUAAGAGCUUGCUCUUACGGGUGGCGAGUGGCGGACGGGUGAGGAAUACAUCGGAAUCUACUUUUUCGUGGGGGAUAACGUAGGGAAACUUACGCUAAUACCGCAUACGACCUACGGGUGAAAGCAGGGGAUCUUCGGACCUUGCGCGAUUGAAUGAGCCGAUGUCGGAUUAGCUAGUUGGCGGGGUAAAGGCCCACCAAGGCGACGAUCCGUAGCUGGUCUGAGAGGAUGAUCAGCCACAAUGGAACGGAGACACGGUCCAGACUACUACGGGAGGAGGCAGUGGGGAAUAUUGGACAAUGGGCGCAAGUCUGAUCCAGCCAUACCGCGUGGGUGAAGAAGGCCGUCGGGUUGUAAAGCCCUUUUGUUGGGAAAGAAAAGCAGCAGGUUAAUACCCCGCUGUUAUGACGGUACCCAAAGAAUAAACACCGGCUAACUUCG
rnacentral:rRNA from 1 species